rnacentral:rRNA from 1 species
GAUGAACGCUGGCGGCGUGCCUAAUACAUGCAAGUCGAGCGAACGGACGAGAAGCUUGCUUCUCUGAUGUUAGCGGCGGACGGGUGAGUAACACGUGGAUAACCUACCUAUAAGACUGGGAUAACUUCGGGAAACCGGAGCUAAUACCGGAUAAUAUUUUGAACCGCAUGGUUCAAAAGUGAAAGACGGUCUUGCUGUCACUUAUAGAUGGAUCCGCGCUGCAUUAGCUAGUUGGUAAGGUAACGGCUUACCAAGGCAACGAUGCAUAGCCGACCUGAGAGGGUGAUCGGCCACACUGGAACUGAGACACGGUCCAGACUCCUACGGGAGGCAGCAGUAGGGAAUCUUCCGCAACGGGCGAAAGCCUGACGGAGCAACGCCGCGUGAGUGAUGAAGGUCUUCGGAUCGUAAAACUCUGUUAUUAGGGAAGAACAUAUGUGUAAGUAGCUGUGCACAUCUUGACGGUACCUAAUCAGAAAGCCACGGCUAACUACGUG